AGCCACAGUCAUAUCACCCUGCAGCCCAAGACUGGUUGCCCACUGCAGCUAAGCAGGGUUGAGCUUGGUCAGUACCUGGAUGGGAGACCUUCCGGGAAAACUAGGUUGCUGUUGGAA
ensembl:rRNA 5S_rRNA 5S ribosomal RNA